GAGAUUGCGUGAUGCAUACGAGAAACUCAAAAAGAGAGGUAUCCCACUAGCAUCAAAGCAAGUGAAUUACAGUCUCAUAUACAAGGCACCAGAGGAGAAUGGAGGUAAGGCUACCUGUGACGAACUUGGGAUCACUUUGAUUGCCUAUUCACCUAUUGCUCAAGGUACAGUGUGAAUUUUUGAUGUUUUGCAUUCCUUUUAGUAAUGCCUUUUCUAACAUGUUGCUGCAGGAAUAUAAGGAGAAGCCAGAUUAUGCACGUUGUGUUGCUAUUGUAGCAUAUGCAUCUUUGAGGGAGAUGAUAAAACCUGGUGCCUUGGCUAUUAUUUCACCUAUAGCAGUUGGUAUUGCGUUCCGGAUAUUUGGAUACUAUCCGGAGGCAAAGGAAGUGAUUGUCAUAAGGCUGCAAUUACAGGAGACAUAGUGGGAGACCCAUUCAAAGACACAGCUGGACCUUCACUUCAUGUCCUUAUUAAAAUGCUUGCUACAAAAAUGCUGGUCAUGGCUCCUGUCUUUCUCUGAGUAGUUUAUAACAAUUCCGGGUUUUC